rnacentral:rRNA from 1 species
CCCCUAGAUGUUCUGGGCCGCACGCGCGCUACACUGAACAGUUCAACAAGUCUUAACCUUGGCCGAUAGCUCUGGGUAAUCUUUGAACGCUGUUCGUGAUUGGGAUAGACCUUUGCAAUUAUGGGUCUUCAACGAGGAAUUCCUAGAAAACGCAAGUCAUCAGCUUGCAUUGAUUACGUCCCUGCCCUUUGUACACACCGCCCGUCGCACCUACCGAUUGAAUGGUCCGGUGAAAUCUCGGGACGGCGGCUUGGUCGCUUGCGUCCGACUGCUGAAACUUGAUUAAACCAUAUCAUUUAGAGGAAGGUGAAGUCGUAACA